UGCUUAUUUGAAAUAAUUAGGAAAAAAAAUCCACAUAAAGUUCUCUGAAUGCACACCUCACCUAGCAGAGAUUCACAAAUGAAAUAGAAUUUCUUCCCUUGCAAAGAACCAUCCAGAAGGAUGCUUUACAUCCAGAUAUUUCUCAAAGACUAGUCUUAGCAAAUCUUUUGUGGUUGCCAAAUGUAUUAAUUUCAGCUGUUCAACAAUAUAGAAGAAUUAUGUCAGAAGUCAUUCAUUGCAUCUUCUUAGAUUAAUACACUUUUCACAUUCCUGCUGUUAUCUCCAGUCACAAGGUCUUUCUGUGAUAUUUCAUUCUGUGCAGCAGAAAAGAGUAACCAUUGUUAUUCUGCAAAUACUUAAGUUUCCUCUGGUUUUGUUUUUUUUUCCUCUUCUUAAUAGGGAUCUUCUUACUCAGGAAGCAGCCAGUAUGGUGGGCAGGGCUCAUCAUAUUCUGGAGGCCGACAACAUGGUAAACCAGGAUCCUCAGGAAGCACUUAUUCUGGAAAGCAGCAACCACCUUCUUCAGGGGGUAGUCAAGUGAGCUCUGCUGGGAAACACUCCAGUCCCCAACUCCUGCUGUUGUUUAGCAUUUUGAGUGCCUUCGUACUCUCUGCUGUUACAUCAAAAUGGUCUAUGUGAACAUCAGAAGAUGUGCUCGGCAUCCUAGACGUGGAUUAUACGCAGUAAUAUUAGAUUAAUUAAUAUCAGGAAGAAAAAAAAACAACACCACCAUAAAACUGUCAGAUGUUACUUGGGCUAUCAUGUUCCAUGUCUGGUUACUAUGUCAUGUCUUUCAUUAGUUUCUUUGGGUUUAGUCAUUAGUAGAUAUCAUUACUUUUGUCAGUGUUCUAGGCACCAUUUUAAGAGAGUGUAUUGUACCCUAGCUUUAUGAUUUCAUUAAAUUAUUUUUAUGUCCAGUGGAAAACAUGAUGAACACCUGAAAACUGAUUGGUGUGAGAAACAAAUGCUUAUAAAAUACCUGGUUAGUAACCAACGCAGAAUGUCAGACAAAUGGUUUUAUUUGCAAAACUUUAUUUGAGCACUGUCACUGCCCCUCACUGCAUACAAUAAAGAUGACCUCUAACUUCUUGUGAGCGAUCCU
rnacentral:lncRNA from 1 species